rnacentral:rRNA from 1 species
GACGAACGCUGGCGGCGUGCCUAGCACAUGCAAGUCGAGCGGAGACAGCAAGUAGCAAUACGAACUGUUUUAGCGGCGGACGGGUGAGUAACGCGUGAGCAACCUGUCCCAAACAGGGGGAUAACGAACCGAAAGGUUCACUAAUACCGCAUAAGACCACAGAGUCACAUGGCUCAGGGGUCAAAGGAGAAAUCCGGUUUGGGGUGGGCUCGCGUCUGGUUAGCUAGUUGGUGAGGUAAAGGCUCACCAAGGCGACGACGGGUAGCCGGCCGGGGAGGGUGACCGGCCACACUGGGACUGAGACACGGCCCAGACUCCUACGGGAGGCAGCAGGGGGGAAUUUUGGACAAUGGGCGCAAGCCUGAUCCAGCCAUGCCGCGUGCGGGAAGAAGGCCUCCGGGUUGUAAACCGCUUUUGUCAGGGAAGAAACGGUCCAACCUAAUAAAUUGGACUAAUGACGGUACCUGAAGAAUAAGCACCGGCUAACUACGUGCCAGCCGCCGCGGUAAGAC